CGUUCUGUAAGCCUGUGAAGGUGUGCUGUGAGGCAUGCUGGAGGUAUCAGAAGUGCGAAUGCUGACAUAAGUAACGAUAAAGCGGGUGAAAAGCCCGCUCGCCGGAAGACCAAGGGUUCCUGUCCAACGUUAAUCGGGGCAGGGUGAGUCGACCCCUAAGGCGAGGCCGAAAGGCGUAGUCGAUGGGAAACAGGUUAAUAUUCCUGUACUUGGUGUUACUGCGAAGGGGGGACGGAGAAGGCUAUGUUGGCCGGGCGACGGUUGUCCCGGUUUAAGCGUGUAGGCUGGUUUUCCAGGCAAAUCCGGAAAAUCAAGGCUGAGGCGUGAUGACGAGGCACUACGGUGCUGAAGCAACAAAUGCCCUGCUUCCAGGAAAAGCCUCUAAGCAUCAGGUAACAUCAAAUCGUACCCCAAACCGACACAGGUGGUCAGGUAGAGAAUACCAAGGCGCUUGAGAGAACUCGGGUGAAGGAACUAGGCAAAAUGGUGCCGUAACUUCGGGAGAAGGCACGCUGAUAUGUAGGUGAAGCGACUUGCUCGUGGAGCUGAAAUCAGUCGAAGAUACCAGCUGGCUGCAACUGUUUAUUAAAAACACAGCACUGUGCAAACACGAAAGUGGACGUAUACGGUGUGACGCCUGCCCGGUGCCGGAAGGUUAAUUGAUGGGGUCAGCGCAAGCGAAGCUCUUGAUCGAAGCCCCGGUAAACGGCGGCCGUAACUAUAACGGUCCUAAGGUAGCGAAAUUCCUUGUCGGGUAAGUUCCGACCUGCACGAAUGGCGUAAUGAUGGCCAGGCUGUCUCCACCCGAGACUCAGUGAAAUUGAACUCGCUGUGAAGAUGCAGUGUACCCGCGGCAAGACGGAAAGACCCCGUGAACCUUUACUAUAGCUUGACACUGAACAUUGAGCCUUGAUGUGUAGGAUAGGUGGGAGGCUUUGAAGUGUGGACGCCAGUCUGCAUGGAGCCGGCCUUGAAAUACCACCCUUUAAUGUUUGAUGUUCUAACGUUGACCCGUGAUCCGGGUUGCGGACAGUGUCUGGUGGGUAGUUUGACUGGGGCGGUCUCCUCCUAAAGAGUAACGGAGGAGCACGAAGGUUGGCUAAUCCUGGUCGGACAUCAGGAGGUUAGUGCAAUGGCAUAAGCCAGCUUGACUGCGAGCGUGACGGCGCGAGCAGGUGCGAAAGCAGGUCAUAGUGAUCCGGUGGUUCUGAAUGGAAGGGCCAUCGCUCAACGGAUAAAAGGUACUCCGGGGAUAACAGGCUGAUACCGCCCAAGAGUUCAUAUCGACGGCGGUGUUUGGCACCUCGAUGUCGGCUCAUCACAUCCUGGGGCUGAAGUAGGUCCCAAGGGUAUGGCUGUUCGCCAUUUAAAGUGGUACGCGAGCUGGGUUUAGAACGUCGUGAGACAGUUCGGUCCCUA
rnacentral:rRNA from 1 species